CAUCACUCAAUAAUCAACCAAACGGAUAUCAUACGAAUGAAACAUUAAGAUCUGCUUGUUUCUUGUGUUAUGGAUGUCCAAGUGAAGCAUUUCCUGGUUAAGCAGCAGAAAAGUCCUGCUGAUUAGCAGUGCAGGUUCACUGGUGUAAAUGAGGAAUCUCUGAUCCUGCUUGAGUCUAUAAUCUGCUUGCAUGUUUACUGGCUAAAAGCAGGCGUGAUGCUGCCGUGACCCAGGCUGAUCCAGAUCCUCGGAGCAUCUUUUCCUAUCUUUCCUUCCCUUUUUCUGUGCGGCAACACAGCCUGUUAUUUCAAGGAAAGUGCAACCUUUGCCUUGGGCUUUAAUUAUGUUCAAUUUGCCAAGCCGAGCCUGAAAAAUUGAGAGGGUGAAAAAGCUCUAUGACCUAUUUAUUAAUGCUGCGUUGAGUCUGAAGCUGCACUGAGAUCAGCACUGCAUCACUCAACAAUAACAGGCGUCUCUGGAGAACACGCUCUUCUCCACUGCAGGAAUUCACUGCUCUAUUAUACACCGCCGGACACUUCAUUGACUUGAGCAGCACUGAAGUAAAUGACAUUAGUUUUGUAGCUGAGUGUGAGCGGGAUCUGCUGUGUGUUUUUGGAAAUGGAUGUUAAAAGGACAGAAGUAUGUCUAAUCAAAUAAAACCUAAUUAUGUAUAUUAUAUAGACGGGAUGUAGCCUAUUUAUAAUUAGAUAUGUGUGUAUUAAAUAGAGUUUAUAUUAUUUUUAGAUAGUCAUAUCACCGUAUUUAAGUUUUUUUUUUAUCUUAUGAUGUGAAUUAGUUUAUUGUGUUUUGUUUUUGUUUCUUGUACAAUUUCAGUGAGUCUACAAUAAAAAUCUCCCCUCCUCUGCU
rnacentral:lncRNA from 1 species